UGUUGGUCGAUCAAAAGUCAUGGAAUAUGAUGCCGAGGUAAUACUAGUUGCAAUGUCACUUUUUUGUGUACUGUUCCAUCAUGUACUCAAUUGAUAGUUGAUUCUAAUAUUUUUUUCCUCAUGUCUAUGCAAAGUACUACAAGAGAGAAUGACCUACAUGUUUGUGUCCAGAUCUUGUGUUUUAGGUUCCUGUUAUAUAGGGUGACCUACAUGUUUGUGUCCAGAUCUUGUGUUUUAGGUUCCUGUUAUAUAGGGUGUAGGUUCAUGCUAUUAGUGUAUGGUACUUUGUAAAGAAGCAACUAUGUUGAUGAGAAUAUUUGGAGCUACAGUGGUUGUAAAUACUAAUCUAUAGUCAGUCAAG
rnacentral:lncRNA from 1 species